AUACUACUCCCUCUGUCCGGAAAUACUUGUCAUCAAAAUAAAUAAAAUGGGAUGUAUCUAGAUGUAUUUUAGUUCUAGAUACAUCCCUUUUUGUCCAUUUUGAUGACAACUAUUUUCGGACGGAGGGAGUAUAUG
rnacentral:pre_miRNA from 1 species